UACGUAGGUGGCAAGCGUUGUCCGGAUUUACUGGGCGUAAAGAGCGCGCAGGCGGUCGAUUAAGUCGAAUGUGAAAGCCCCCGGCUCAACUGGGGAGGGUCAUUCGAUACUGAUCGACUUGAAGGCAGGAGAGAGAAGUGGAAUUCCAGGUGUAGCGGUGAAAUGCGUAGAUAUCUGGAGGAACACCGGUGGCGAAGGCGGCAUCCUGGACCGAGAUUGACGCUGAGGCGCGAAAGCUAGGGGAGCAAACGGG
rnacentral:rRNA from 1 species